GUGGUCGCUGGAUCUGAUCGCA
rnacentral:siRNA from 1 species